rnacentral:rRNA from 1 species
AAAUCCGCGAAUCUUGUAAUCGUGAGCUGUCUUAGUUCUUACCGUUUGACGAUAUCGAUGGUAAUCGAUUUAAAAAGCGGGAUCUAUGUAGACGUGUCAACUGAGAUGCUGUACUUGGAGUUGAAUAUAACUAAUCACCCUCAUCUCCCUGGAGUAACGGUACCCACAACGACCUCUUCGAAAAAAAAACGCCCCACAGCGACCUCUUCGAUUUCUCGACGAGGAUAGGUCCUGUAACUACUUGUGUGCUUGUUGUAAUCCUGUACUGGUAUUUAUUACCACAACCUCCUCGACUACCUCUAUUUUAUGACUACGAUGCUACAUCACCUAACUCUCUCUUUUUUCUUUCCUACUCCCUUUACUUCACGUCAUAACCAUGCUGAGAUGUAGAUGUAAAAAAACCUUUUCUUCGAGACAUACAAGUACCUACUCAAGAUCGAUCGAUACGUGUACUUGGCUUACGUACUUGAUCUCUUCCUCCUACUCGUCUUACGUACUUGACCUCCUCCUCCUACUCAUUUCCUCUUCGACGACCUAGCUCUUUCCUACCCUCUUUUAUGUGUUCGACCACGUCCGACGGGUAAUUGAGAAGAUUUUGUUAUUACACCCUAGUCAUGUUAAUAACACACUACCCCAUACGUAUGAAUAACACACCACCCCGUAAGUGUGAAUAACUACACAGUAUGUAACUGAUACGUUAUAACUAUAUGUCACGGUUCUUUAGUUAUAUGUACUGAACAACAUGUUUAUGACGUGACUAGAUACGCGUCGCUUGCCUACUCUAUGGUAGGAGCGCACCAGCGUACAGGUGGGCACUAAAUAGCGAUUAUAGGGUAGAAUUUCAUACU